GAUGAAGAACGCAGUGAAAUGCGAUACUUGGUGUGAAUUGCAGAAUCCCGCGAAUCAUCGAGUCUUUGAACGCAAGUUGCGCCUCAAGCCAUUAGGUUGAGGGCACGUCUGCCUGGGCGUCACAUAUCGUUGCCUGAUGCCAGUUUCCUCGUGAUGGGUGACUGUGCAGGGCGAAUGAUGGCUUCCCGUGAGCAUUGUUGCCUCAUGGUUGGUUGAAAAUUGAGUCCUUGGUAGGGAGCGCCGUGAUAGAUGGUGGUUGAGUGACGAACGAGACCCAAUCAUGUGAGACCCCUACCGAAUUUGGCCUUCAUGACCCACAUGCGUCUUUGGAACGCUCAUGACGAGACCUCAGGUCAGGCGGGGCUACCCGCUGAGUUUAAGCAUAUCAAUAAGCGGAGGA
rnacentral:misc_RNA from 1 species